rnacentral:snRNA from 14 species
AAUAUGACCUGAGAGAGGAGACACCACGAUCAUAAUCAUGGUUUUACAAGAGCAAGGCUUGUCUAUUUCCUUUGAGAUGGUCUGACCCCUGUGAUUUCCUCAAGUAUAAGAAAUUUGGCUGUAUAACUUGGGCAGACAAUGACUGUCUCCCUGAG